rnacentral:lncRNA from 1 species
GCUGCAGGAGCAGGCGGCGGGAGGGGCGGGACCUAGCACUGGGCCUGCCACGGCGGCGGCGGCAGCAGCGGCGGCGGUGGAGGGCGACCCUUGCAUGCCGCCCCCGGAUGCGUCCCUUCUGCGGGGUACGUGGCGGAGGCUGUGGGACAGCCACGCCAGUCGGGGGGCAAAGGUGCUGGUGUACAGGCUGCAACAUGCUUACCUGCCUUGCGGGCUGUACAGGGCGGGCAAGGGCAUUCGGCCACGGGUGACCACGGGGUGCGGGGGGUUGGGGGCGCACUGUCC